GUAGUCGGAGCCGUGCACUCGAGCCAAUGGUGAUCGUGCAACGUCGUUGGGAACACACUGUGCGCUCCUUAACGUCAGUCUCGUCGCGGUGCUCCGUCUUUGCACGUCACGUCGUCACGUAGCGUAACGUAACGUAACGUUCUCGAGAAGAGAGACCGACGCGUUAUCGGGAAGAGACGAUCGGGCCGCGAUUCAGCUGUCAUCGUCGCGUACGACACGCGCGAUCGAUCCGAGUCACGCGAGACUCUCUCGUUUCCCUACGAGGAGGAGAGGCGCGACCGCUCGCUCAACCGAUCGCCGAGCACUCACGAUCCCGUCGGGGCCCCGUCGUCGUGCUAAUCGCGUUUAAAGACCGCGUGGAAGCUGCAACUCUUCUUCGGUUCACGUAGCCCGCAGCGGGACCCGCGCAGAACGCAGAGCUCCGGUCGCCUUCGAGGCGAGUCUUCGCCGAGAGGGCAUCCACCUGGGCGGUGGACAGCGUCAUCCGGCACGAGCAGCUCGACGGUCGACGACUAGGUCGUCGUCCAGUGAGGCAGGCGACAUCGCGGACCCAGGCAGGCCGACGAAAGGUCACGCCAUGCCGGCAGGUAUUGGCGCUUCGUACAGGUCCCUAGGCGACCUGGGCGAAGACGUCUACAAAAGCACGACCAUCGUCGACCAGACGCAGACCACCAGCCAGAGCGUCCUCGAGUCCGUGAAGAAGGCGUUUAGCUUCGCCUCGCCCAAGGUCGAGAUCCGCAAGAAGGACCCGCUGAUCGAGGACCGCCGCGAGAGCGUCUCGAUCGUCUCCAGGGAGAGAAACAGGAUGCCGACAGCAGCAGCCACCGCCGAGGAAUCUGCUCUGUUGGGCACGAUGCCCUCCGAUAGCAUGGACGACAUCGAGCUGAAGAACAUUCAGCUGCAAUUUCCGGCUCUGAGAUACCUCUCUAGGGACGACGGCUCCGUGCGGGAAGAAAGGGUGGAGACCGACAAGGGAAGUUUGCUGGUGGCGGUGCAAGGAAAUCGAGCGAAACCAGCUAUCCUCACUUAUCACGAUCUAGGCCUUAAUUACAUCUCGAGCUUCCAGGCGUUCUUCAAUUACAUCGACAUGCGUGUUCUACUCGAAAACUUCUGCGUGUACCACGUAAACGCACCCGGGCAAGAGGAGGGCGCACCGACGCUACCCGAGGACUACACCUAUCCGUCCAUGGAGGAGCUCGCGGAACAGCUGCUCUUCAUUCUCGGCCACUUUGGCAUCAAGUCCGUAAUUGGCUUCGGGGUCGGUGCCGGCGCCAAUAUCCUGGCGCGAUUCGCACUCGCCCAUCCGGAGAAAGUUAAUGCACUGUGCCUGAUAAACUGCGUGUCCACGCAGGCGGGAUGGAUCGAGUGGGGUUAUCAAAAGAUGAACGUGCGCCACCUGAGGUCGCAGGGCAUGACCCAGGGCGUCCUCGAUUAUCUGAUGUGGCAUCAUUUCGGCAGGGGGACCGAGGAGCGAAAUCAUGACCUGGUGCAGGUGUACAAGAACUACUUCGAGCGCCGCGUGAACCCGACGAAUCUCGCCUUGUUCAUCGACAGUUACGUCCGUCGCACGGAUCUCAACAUAACGAGGGAAUUGGACCCGACGCGCAAGAAGGAGGGCCUGACGCUUAGGGUGCCGGUGAUGAACAUCACCGGUGCUCUAAGCCCUCACGUCGACGACACCGUAACGUUAAACGGACGCCUGGAUCCGACGAACAGCUCCUGGAUGAAGAUAUCGGACUGCGGCAUGGUGUUGGAAGAGCAGCCCGGUAAAGUAAGCGAGGCGUUCCGGCUGUUUCUCCAGGGCGAGGGAUACGUGGUGAGAUCCCCGCGGAAGCCCGUGAAGCCAACAACACCCGAAGGUAAUUGUAAUUAGGAAUUGAAGGCCGCAAGGAGUCGAGCGCGCAGUUGGUCAAUUAGGCCACGUCUAUGCGUUAAUGGCCCCGCUGUCGCCGUUAAAGAUGGCCGACUACAGAUUGGCUUCGUUGGAGGGACUGAAUCACGUCUGCAGCAAGAAGAUCGACUGGCCUACCGCGACCAUACACAUCACGGAGAAUCCGAUAUCGGAGGCAGUCGUUUGUUAAGAUGUCGAUCGCCGAAUUUCAUCACCGCCAUCGAUUUUCGUUACGCAAUCAAACGAGCAUACAAUCGGAAGACGACGCGGCGACUUGGAUGUCGGUAGCUUUAGGAAGGUUUCGUCGGGGCAACGAUCCCUCGCGGCACUAAUAAAAACGCGCUGGUUUCUUUCCGGAAGCUUCUGUCGGCACCGCACUUACUUUUGGAACCGCGACUUUCAGCUGGGUCGACCACACGCGUUCGUAAUAAGUGUUUAAUUCUAAAUAACUAUAAGUUAAGAGCUUUAAAAACGGUUUUUAUUACUUAAGAGAUAUCGGAUGUUUUAUCUGCGGUUGUUCUUGGGUACGCGCAUUGUUACUAAUAGCGAGCGGCGUCGAUUCGUUAAGGAUACGGAUAAGAGAAUAAUGUUAACGUUGCGUACGACCACGUUGAGUUUCAAGCCGAGUCCCACUUUCGGGACUUUUCACGAACGGUGCGGCGCGACUUUUUCAGAAUACCGUUCGCUCUUUUUAUCAUCAUGAGAGCAAUGUUUGCAAUCGUUUUAGCGGGUGUUUACAGUUGUUUGAGAAACAAUUUAUUUGAAUGGCAGGCGGGUGUUUCUUAAAGUUUCGAUGAUUCUCAAACGAACAUUCCCCUGCGAAUAUUUUAAUAUAUCAUUAUCCGAAGAGGUUUAAGAGAGAAAGAGAGAGAGAGAGAGAAAGAUGAAAUGCGAAUAAAAAUGUUCAACACUUCGACGUGUACUUCUAUACGUGUGUGGGUAUACACGAAAGCCGUGACUUUGUAAUGUCAAAACUCGACAGACUUGAUGAUUAUGAAUUUUCGUACCAAUACGCGUAACAUUUUACACGAUAAUAACGUUCACGAAAAGCAGAAAAGAAGAGGCUCCUCCGAUAUGAGUGAGAGGAAACUCGCGUGUAAAUUUUUAAUUUCGAAAAAAAGAGAACCCAAUAUAACGGUAAUUCUAAUAAAAAUCGACGAAGAAAUAAGUCACGUCGUCGCGAAACGACGAGAAAAAGUGUGAUAACACGUUGCAAAAAAAAUGUGCACCUCCGCUUUUCGUGCUCGUAAGAAACUCGGAGAGAGACUCACGGUAGAUGUAAAGGACCAGCAGAAAUUUUUAACGACUUGCACACAACUUCUCGCCAAGUGACGUCCAAAAAGAAAAAGAAUUCCGCCGCAUGGUGUAUAUAACGCGUGGAAGUACAUUCACUGUUUUACGGACUUUUUUAUUGUUAUAUAUAGGAAGAAAUACCACUACUACUUUCCAACGAAGUCAUUGUCAACGAAGAUUAUAAUUGACGAGAAAGAGCCCUGCGACGAGGACAAUUUUUCCGUUACACUUUGCGACGUCAACGAAGAGAGAAAGAAAGAAAUGGGAGGAUCGCUUGAGCACGUCGUUAUGUUUCUCUGCUUCGUCGUUCGCGUCUACUUUGAUUCGCGAACAAUCGACCAGUCCCGAGUAAAAAUGUAAAGCUCGUAUCCGCCACGCGUGACCGUGACCAUUUUUUGUUUCUCGCUCCUUGACACGGCUCGACGUUAUCCAAAAUAUUUCGCGAUUUCGAGAUAACGAGAUUGAAACGCGGUAGUGAAGCACUAGUGUCGAUAUAAACGAUUACGAAGUAGGUAUUACUGUUACUGUUGAUAGUCAGAUAUCCUUGGUGAGUUCGCUUAUACAGCUCAUCACAGUCUAACGACGAGAUCAACGGAGUAUAAAACGAAAGAUCGACCAUGUUCUUUCAACGAUUCGAGAGAGAGAGAGAGAGAGAGAGAGAGAGAGAGAGAGAGAGAGAGAGAGAGAGAGAGAGAGAGGGAGAGAGAGAGAGAGAGAGAGACGGCAGCUUCUCGCGAUAUGAGAUUCGGUGUUCCCGUCAUGGACAUUAUCCCUGAAGAGGGAAAUGUUUUUGACUACCUACGAUUCCUGCUCCUUUAAUCGAGCUGGGGAUUCGCUCGUUCGUUUGCACCGUUUGCAUCAUUUUUUUUUAUUAAUAAGAGAAGAGAUUGCCCGCAUAAACAAGGAGGAAAGUGCAUGUGAGAAUGCUAAUGUUUAAAGACGAAGUGUAAGAGAGGAAGGAGAAACGAGGAUACGUAAUUAGUCGUUACAAGAGUAAGAAGAAGGAAGGAGUAAGGGACAUACAACAAAAGUCGAGAGAACUCGGUGUCUCUGUACGGUUUUACCGGGCUUAUUCGAGCCUCUAGCGUGAUAUGAUAAGACGUGCCUGCUAUACGAUGUCGUACGUAGCUUUCGAAAGUGUGUUUCACAGCUUUUUAGUUUUCUAUAUAUACAUAUUAUGAUUCUCUCUCGCGCGGUGCUCCCCCCCCCCCUCUCGCGAAAUUCAUCACUUUUCGCGCGUCUUCUCUCGAAGUAUUUUCACAUUUCACGACGAUCGGCGCAUCGACAUAUCUUUUUCUAAAUCAAUUUUAACCAAGGUGAUUGGAACUGAUCGAGCGCGUGUGUAACGAACUACGACGAACAUUUUGAAUCGAAAAUUUUUUAAACAAAACGACAAGAAAGUCAAUAAUAUUGAUAAAAUGUCGGUCGCACGCGACAUCGCGUCGGAAACGGACUCCCUUGGGAAAGAAAAAAAGAAAAGAAGAAAAAGAAUUCCGGAAGUUCGCCAAUUCGAGACGUUUACAUUGAACAUCGAUCGCAUCGAUAUGAUGUGCAUAUCGCGACAAUAGUUUACAAACUUGUGUUACCUUCUUCUUAUUUCGGAGCAGAUAAUAGGUGAUGAAAGAGAGAACGCGAGAACGAAGGAGAAAGUCGAAACAGCGGACAAUCUCGAGGGACAGGAGGUUUAAGCGUUUCGUGUAAAAGAGAGUUUAUAAGAAUAUAUAUAUAUAUAAUAAAUAUAUAUAUAAAUAUACGUCGCAUUAAACUUAGAUUAUCGCAGAGAGAUGAGGCAGAGUGAUAGUCGAGUGCGUAGUGUUAAGAUUAUAUAUACGGGGCUCGAUACGAGACGAUUGAGAGGAGCGCACGCAUUAAUCAUUGCUAACGCGAACGCUACUAACGGAUAACGUAGCUUUUAAGGACUACCGAUGCUCCGCCGUUAAUCCCUUCGUUUCCGGAUAGACAAAUUCCCCCGCGGACACUUGCCGAUCAUUGGACGCGAAUUAUCUGGACGCUCAACGACAACGAAUUUGUUGAAUCUGCACAUCGACGUAACGUAUUGAAUUUAAUUAGACAUAUCGGCCGAGCCCAAUAUUACGCGCGAUAGUACCAUGAAAUUGUUCGUCGACUGAUCGGUCUCAAUCCCGAAUAUUCGCCCCCCACGUUACUCGCGAGACGCAUAUCAAUGAAUUUUUAAACGACUUUUCGACAACAAGAAGGAUCUGUCGGAUUUGCAUGUUGCAUCUUAAUUGGCACACGUCCACGUCAACAUCGAAGAGUAUCGCUCGGAAAAAAAAAAAAGGAGCGCGA